GACGAACGCUGGCGGCGUGCUUAACACAUGCAAGUCGAACGGAAAGGCCCUGCUUUUGUGGGGUGCUCGAGUGGCGAACGGGUGAGUAACACGUGAGUAACCUGCCCUUGACUUUGGGAUAACUUCAGGAAACUGGGGCUAAUACCGGAUAGGAGCUCCUGCUGCAUGGUGGGGGUUGGAAAGUUUCGGCGGUUGGGGAUGGACUCGCGGCUUAUCAGCUUGUUGGUGGGGUAGUGGCUUACCAAGGCUUUGACGGGUAGCCGGCCUGAGGGGGUGACCGGCCACAUUGGGACUGAGAUACGGCCCAGACUCCUACGGGAGGCAGCAGUGGGGAAUAUUGCACAAUGGGCGGAAGCCUGAUGCAGCAACGCCGCGUGCGGGAUGACGGCCUUCGGGUUGUAAACCGCUUUCGCCUGUGACGAAGCGUGAGUGACGGUAAUGGGUAAAGAAGCACCAGCUAACUACGUG
rnacentral:rRNA from 1 species